UCUCCUUUGUGAGUUCAGGCUCAGUGGAGU
rnacentral:piRNA from 1 species